ensembl:lncRNA
AGCACCCUAAUUUUAAAACAAGUUACUUCAAGUAAAGUCUACUUCACUGAAAGUCACGUUGUGGAACCUGGUUACAACUUGAAGUAUGUUGUCUCAAUCCUCAGCAUUAUUCAAGUACAAAAUCACAAGCAAAUGGACGUGACCAAAAUAAAUCACGGUGUAUAAUCAAUGAAAUCCACAUUAAAAGAAGUAAAACAAAACAAAGAAUUAUCUAUUCUUAUGAUGUGAAAGCAAAUCCAAACAUAAUGGAAACAUGCCACUUCUUCUGCCAGAGACAGUACGAUAUGGCUGUGAUUUUCACUGAACAUACUGAACAAGAAAGCAAACUCUGGGAAUGGAAGCAUCCUGUUUGAUGUACAGGAUUGCUCUUUGGAUUUGGAGAGAUACAUUUGUGUGUCUUAUGUCUAGAUAUCAGAAACAAAUCUAACAGGUGUGCACUGCCCCAACCGAUGUUUAGAAUUAUAUGAGUCACUACAAGGUCAUACUUCCAAAAACCUCAGACCUCUGAAGAAUUCACUAUGUUUGAUGCAUCAUUUGUUUCCUGUGUUUGGAUUUUUGUUGUCAAGAAUCUCAAGUAUGUUACCACCAUCUGAUGAACUUCUACAACAAGAAUAAUUUUUCCAUGUAACUCACACAUAAGCGCUUUCUAAGGAUGUGUCCAUCUAACACCCAGAAGGCUGACAGAAAAGCUCAAUUGGGAGCAUCUUUGUCUACCAGACCCAGCCAGGGCCACUGCUUAAAGCCCUACAAUACAACAUCAAAGGUCACCACGGCUGCCACAGUGGGAACCAAGAGGAAUCUGUUCUCUAAGAUAUUCCUACCCGAACAAAUCCAGCUGUUUUAUGUCAAAUAAUACAAAAUUUGAUUCUCCAAAACACAGCGGAUGAAUUUGUCAGGAAGCAUGGCAAAAAAGAUUUGACUUAGAGUGAAAAAUCUCUCUGUCCAGGAGGAAAAGUGAAUGACUAUUGGAGAAGAGAAGGCAGAUCAGAAGAUUAUUCCAAUUCCUGUAUACACCUACAAGCAGUAUGAUAUCAGGUAAUGAGAAUAAUGAUGUGAACUGAUGGGUGUCCAUCUUCUGCUGCCACAUCAGAGACAAAUGUGUCCUCAAACAAGCCUAUUCAGAUUGUCCGAGCUCAUACCUUUGGAGUAUUCACAGUGAUUCAAAAUUAAGGACUUCAUAUUGUAGAAUCUCAGUGGUUUCAACAGAGUGUGUAACAUAAACAAUAGGCUAAUGAAUCAUUAUUUUUAUUCACUUCCCUACUUCCAGUUCUAGAUAUACUUCCUCACAUUCUCACAUCUUUCCAGCACUAUCAAUUUUCUUCCGCAGUUGAUAUUUUCUCCUAACAUAUGAAGUCAUUUCAAUAGCAGUUCUGCCACACCAAAUAAUGGCCCACAAAGAUACCUCCCCAGAAAUAUCUGAAUCUCUGGAAACUAAGAAUGCGACUUUAUAUGGCAACUGUGACUUUAUGGAUGUGACAUCAUGAUCAUGACAUGGAGAGAUUGCCCUGCAUUAUCUAAGUGGACCAUAAAUGCAACCACAAAGCUCCUUAUGAGGCAGGAAAUUUGACACUGAAGAUUCCUAUGUAACCAUUGAAGGAAAAUGCUAUAUGCCUGGCUUAAAAAUUGAGAAAGGUAGAAUGAGUCAAGCGAUGUAAACAAUGCUGCUCUAAAUUCUGAAAAAGGCAAUGAUUGCAAUUCUUUCUUAGAACCUGAAGAGGAAAUGCACCCUGUUAACAUACUGAUUUUGGCCAAAUGCAACUGAUUUGGACUUCUGCCCUAAGAACUAUAAGAGAUCAAGAGUGCUGGGGCAAUUUGUUGUAGUAGCAAUCAGAAUAAAAAAUAAAACACAGGUAAGUAUGAAGCA